UUUUUGAUUAAUAAUUUAAAGUCUAAUCUGCCCACUGAUAAUUUAUUAAAGGGCUGCAGUAUUUUGACUGUACAAAGGUAGCAUAAUCAUUAGUCUCUUAAUUGGUGACUUGUAUGAAAGAUUUGAUGAGAUAUAUACUGUCUCUUUUUAAUUUAUAAAAUUUAAUUUUUUAGUUAAAAAGCUAAAAUAAAUUUAAAAGACGAGAAGACCCUAUAGAGUUUUAUAUUUAAUUAAAUUAAAAUUUUUUAUAAGUUUUAAAAUUUUAAUUUAAAUAAAUAUUUUGUUGGGGUGACAGAAAAAUUAAAAUAACUUUUUUUAAAAAUAUACAUUUAUAAAUGGAUAAAUGAUCCGUAAUUUACGAUUAUAAGAAAAAAUUACCUUAGGGAUAACAGCGUAAUUUUUUUUUUUAGUUCAAAUAAGAAAAAAAGUUUGCGACCUCGAUGUUGGAUUAAGAUAAAAUUUAAAUGCAAAAGUUUAAAAUUUUUGAUCUGUUCGAUCAUUAAAAUCUUACA
rnacentral:rRNA from 2 species